rnacentral:lncRNA from 10 species
CUUGAGGAAUAUCACACUCUUGGUUUUCCCUCUGUCUGUUCAGUGGGUUCUGAACAUUCUUUGAUGGCUGGAUCCUACUCCUCUGACAUCUUAGUGUUGGCAAGAUCUUGGACCCUCCUCCUUCUUUCUGUUUUGAGGUUGCAGACCGUUGGCUCAUCAGUCACACUGGACUCACAGGUGGGUAUUAUUUGGCCUGCAGUUUUCAAAAUAGGAAAUCGUGUUAAAAAACAAAAUCAAAUAAAAGAAAAACGACAACAACAAAACCAAAACUGAACUUCCAAUUUAUCUUGGAGAAUUAGCAGACCUAGUAAAAUGAGUUCUGUAUUCUCAUAUGGCAAUAAUUUUCUGGAGCUG